CUGUAGGCUGCAACUCGCCUACACGAAGUCGGAAUCGCUAGUAAUCGCGGAUCAGCAUGCCGCGGUGAAUACGUUCCCGGGCCUUGUACACACCGCCCGUCACACCAUGGGAGUCGGAAAUGCCCGAAGUCUGUGACCCAACCUACGGGAGGGAGCAGCCGAAGGCAGGUCGGAUGACUGGGGUGAAGUCGUAACAAGGUAUC
rnacentral:rRNA from 1 species